ensembl:ncRNA Y76A2B.7 ncRNA
ACCUUAUCACAAGUGUGCACGACAAGUGAAGUGAUAUAUGUGCUUCCCAAAGAGGAAAUGAUCAACUCUGGCUUCUCUGACGUCUCGCAUCUGUAAAUACUCUCU